ensembl:lncRNA
GGGGGGGGGAGGGGGGCGGUGUUUACAUUAUUUAUUUAUUUAUUUGUGUGUGUGUGUAUAUGUGUGCAUGUGUGUGUUGUGUGUGUAUGUGCAUGAGUGUGUGUGUGUGUGUGUGUGUGUGCGUAUGUGUGUGUGUGUGUGUGUAUAUGUAUGUUUAUGUGUGCCCACAGAGGCCAGAAGAAGGCUUCAGAUCCCCUGGAGCUGGACUUACAGUUUUGUGAGUCUCCGGAUGUAAGUGCUAAGAACUGAAAGCUCUCUAACCACUGAGCCAUCUCUUCCUCUAAUCCCCCAUCUCUCUUUCUGUAUUCAAUAUCCUCUUUAUUGAUCAUCUCUGUAAUUUUUUUGGUUGGUAUAUCUAAGCUGGAGUCUGCACAGGCUUAGGGUAAUAUCAGUGAAGAAAUCGAUAUUCAGGCCUGGGGCUGUAGCCUGGUGACAGAGUGCUUGCCUCGCGUGUAUGCAUGAGGUCAUAGACUCAGUUACUCGUCCCGAUGACAUUCUGAGAUGGGAGGAGGAAUUCCAUCUUCUUUUGUUUUGUUUUCUAAGACAAGAUCUCACCAUGCAGUCCAGGGUGGCCCGGAGUGUGACUCUCCUAUCUCCACCUCCCGAGUGCUGGGGUUAUAGCAUGUGCCAGCUCACCCAACGUGCUUAUGACUUUCAGAUCCGGUUCCUAUGACAAAGUGAUCUCAGGUAGAAGCAUUCUCCACGGUGCUGAAUAAGCUUGUGACUCAUAGAUUGCCAGGGAACUCAACAAGCAGGCUCAUCCCACAGACACUGGGGCCUCUGUUAGCACCAAGAUUGAGAUCAGAUAGUGAGUUUCUAGUUAAAACUCGUCCCUGUUGGGGUUCUGGGCUGGAGCAGGCCUUACCGCACAGCUUCAAUUAUCCUAGAGCAAAGUGGGUGUGCUGGCCAGGAAACAGCUGGGCUCCACCCUGGGCUGCAGGGUUGACCUGUGUGAGCUUCCAGUUCAUGGCCGAAGUCGGCUUUCUAGAGUGGACUCCUGUAUUAUCCAAGUGGCAACAGAGACUGGGGCUCAGGGUGCCAGUGGGUAAUUUCAGAGUGGUCACCCAUUAGUAGACAGCUUUUCCUUCAAAUGUUUACAGGUGAGUGUCUGUGUGUGGGUGUAUUGCAUAUGUCCAUGUCCCUGGAGUACAGAAGAGGGGUGUGUGUGUGUGUGUGUGUGUGUGUGUGUGUGUGUGUGUGUGUAGCUACAGUUGCGGCUGCCUCAUGUUGGGAAUGGAACCUGGAUCCUCUGCAAGAGCAACAAAUGCUUUUAACCACUGAGUCAUUUUUUUUCCCAGCCCCAUCCUGGAAUGAGAUGAUGUCAUCUCUGGUUUAUCCAGAUAUUUCAAUGAAUGGGCUAAAGGAAAAAGUCUAAUUCCUUGCUAAGAUAGAAUUAUCCCAGUCUCUUUCUGGGUACAUCUCAAAAGGAGACCAAAAUGCCAGGGGCCAGAGACCUCACAAUGUACAGAACAGCCACUGCAGCAAAGAACGACGGGACGUGGAGUGCUCCUGGCAUAGAGCAGAGAUGCUGCACUCUCUCUGCCUAGAGAUGCAGGUGUGCGCACACAGGAGCCCACAAGCACUUCCGCUCUGCCGAUGGUGGGGGCACAGGCUUCCACAUCUCAUCCUUUCCAUGUGCCUGCCCAUGGAGACGGCUUUGCGUCGCGCGCAUGAGCGGAGCAUCUCCAGCCUCCAGACGCCGUUCUCUGGGCUUGGAUCACUGACUGGCUCAUUCUUCGGCUGAUGGACACUCAGGUCGUUUCUAGCUUCUGCACACAAGGUCCCAGGACAAUGCUUGUCCACAGCUUGGAGAACCCAUGGCGGACAGCUGGUGUGUCUGUCUGCUAACUCCUUCUAGUAGACUAGCUAGGUCAAAGUGGACAAGAGUUCAGGAUGCUCGCAGGUGUUGCCAAAGGCCUUCUGAAGAUACUCAUCGCGCACUCCCAUCUCCCACCAGCCUGUCAACAGGAUGCUUCUGUUCUAUUUGAAAACAAGGGUAAUUCAUAAGCGUUCAUUUUCCAGAAAACAGAAAUUGGGAUAAAGACCCCCGAGUGUCCAGUGUCAGAGGUGUUCUCUGUAAUCAGAGGGACAGAGACAAACCAACGUACAAUGUGUGUCUUGGAGUUGGCCUAGCACAGCCUCAAGGAUUCUUUGAGUUUUCAUGCAGGCCUGGGGGACGUCCAGUCUUCUUCCUCCUCCAAUUCUUCUCCUCUUAGGCAUUUACUCUUCCUUCUUGCCCUCCUCCUCCUACUUCCUCAUAGGGUUUGUACAGCCCCAAACUGACCUUGAACUGACUGGGCAGUUGAGCGUGACCUUGAACUUUUGAUCCUCCUGUCUCUGCUUUCCAAAAGUUGUGUAUUGGCUAGCUUUAUGUCAAUUUGACACAAGCUAGAGUUGUCCGAAAGGGGCGAACUUCAACUGAGAAAAUGCCUCCAUGAGAUCCAGCUGCAGGGCACUUUUUUUGUAAUCAGUAGGGGAGUACCCAGUCCAUUGUGGGUGGGGCCAUCCCCGGGCUGGUGGUCCUGGGUUCUAUAAGAGAGCAGGCUGAGCAAGCCAGGGGAAGCAAGCCAGUAAGCAGCACCCCUCCACCGCCUCUGUGUCAGCUCCUGCCUCCUGGUUCCUGUCUUGCUUGAGUUCCUGUCCUGACUUCUUUUGAUGAUGAGCAGUGAUACAGAAGUGUAAGUCAAAUAAGUUCUUUCCUCUCUAAGUUGCUUUGGUCAUGGUGUUUCAAUUAAAGCAAUAGGAACCCUAACUAAGUCGAGUUGGAUCACCAAUUCUAUUUUUAAAAAACCUUUUCUUUUUAAAUGCUUUAGCUCCCAUUUUAAAAUACUAGUAAUAAAUCCUGUAUUAUUUUAUUUGGUGUUGUAGCAGGUGUGAGAGCUCCUUUUCAGUGGGGGUGUACAGCAUACCCCCAAUGGAGGUAUGGCGCAUGUGGGGGUGUAUGUCAUAAGUGGGGGUGCAUGUCAUAUGUGGGUGUGUCUGUCAUAUGUAGGGGUGCAUGUCAUAUGUGGGGGUGUAUGCCACAUGUGGGGAUGUGUAGCUGUCCCGACCCUAGGGACAGCAACCUAGGGCAAGAAGUCCAGGGAGGGGAAUGGGGACAAUAGACUCGAGAGAAUGACCACAAGACAGGAUUCUGAUCAAGUGGCAAAUUUUGUUUUUUCCAGGCUGGCUUCCAUAGUCAUUGUAUGGGGUGAAGGGAGGGGAGAAGAGGCCAAGAGCCAGGAGUUAGUUCAAGCAGGAUGUUAGAAAACUAUAGGAGGAGGAUGUUGGCAGGGUAAAUAGUUCCUGGGUGGU